UACAGGGGGUGCAAACGUUGCUCGGAAUCAUUGGGCGUAAAGCGCACGUAGGCGGUUCGUUAUGUCGGAUGUGAAAGCCCUUGGCUUAACCGAGGAAGUGCAUCCGAAACUGGCGAGCUAGAGUACUAAAGAGGAUCGCGGAAUUCCCGGUGUAGAGGUGAAAUUCGUAGAUAUCGGGAGGAACACCGGUGGCGAAGGCGGCCAACUGGACGGUGACUGACACUGAGACGCGAAAGCGUGGGGAGCAAACAGG
rnacentral:rRNA from 1 species